rnacentral:sRNA from 1 species
CAGUCCCCAGGCGUGGCUACAGUUGGUGAAGAAUCUUUCCAUGCCGCUGGAGCUCAUCUGCUCCGAUGGGCACACGCAAGGCAGCGGGAGCCUGGCCCAGGCUGUCAUCAGGGAAGUCAGAGCCCAGUGGAGUCGGAUUUUCUCCACCGCACUCUUUGUGGAGCAUGUGCUCCUAGGAACCGAGAGCCAGGUCCCCGAGUUACACAGGCUGGUGACCGAGCACGUCUUCUUACUAGACAAGGGAUUACCUGGCCUUUGGAGUGACCCCAGAACAGACCACUAGCCUGGCCAUCUGUGGAAGCUGUUAUCAUUUUCAUAGUCAUAGAAACAAGGAUGUCGGAGAAUGCCCCUGGGGUUGGAGUCUUUAAAACAGUGCUGUCAACAGAACCAAGGAAUAGGAAGCCACCAUGCCUGUCACUCAACACCCUUCAUAAAGCUACUAAUGUGGGGUGGUCUGCAGAAAAAAAAACCUGUGACCCUACAGUGAUGCACCUCUGUGGCCACACAGUGGUGUCCAGCAACAAUGGCCACUCAGCCAAACACAGCCUCUGCCUCACCCGCACCCCUGACCUUCACGUGAGCACAUCCAGAGCCCUCACUGCCAGGGGGUCUGGAAGAGGCAGCACUGGCUGUCCGACCUUUGGAGCCCAGGAAGGUUUACUAAAAGGAGGCCAGCAUGGAUGCUGGAUGUCAAAACAUCAGUGGCUUAGACAUAGUAUCAGCUGAUUUCCCACCCAGGAUGGG